rnacentral:misc_RNA from 1 species
UUUCCGUAGGUGAACCUGCGGAAGGAUCAUUAAUGAGUUGUCAUGGGGUUCGAUGCUGGCAGCCAAUUUUUGGAUGCAUGUGCUUGCCCUAACAAUCAUCUUCCAAACACCUGUGCAUAUUUUUGAGGGAGUCUUGAGUUGGUUGCCGCUCUUGGGUGAUUUUCUCACAUUCCCUUAAAUCAUUAUACGCUAUUAACAAUGUUGAACGUGCUCUGUGCCGCAAGGCUAUUAAUAUAAUACAACUUUUAACAACGGAUCUCUUGGCUCUC